UGUCCUGGGGCACAUUUCCUUCAGCCCAGACAAAGACACAACUGUUCUUGAACAUCAAAGGGUACAGCUAGUCACACCCCAGGCAUCAUUUUAGAGCUUGAUGCCACCUCAUUAUGUCACUGUUUUGCAAUAAAGAGACUAUAAGCACUACCUUUUCCCCAUGCUGGAGCACCAGUGAGGGGACUCCAGGCUUUUAAGCCCUUCAGAUGUAAAUCUCUGUCUGGCAGCCCCUCUCCAGCUUCCAUUAGGAAAUUGGUUUAUAAUGUGUUAUAAUGGGUGACAGUUUUUCAAGUCACUUAAUUGGAACUGUUCUUGUGAUUUUUUUUUUUACUUAGCUCUUAUAUCCUAGUCCUAAACACUUUCUGAUCUUUGGAACUUUAUAAAGUCCCAGCUGAGGAGAUGGCUCAGGGGCUGGGAUCUUGUCCUGUAAGGACGCACAUAUAUGGGAAACCCUAUGAGACAUUGUCUAGGUGAAGAGUUUUCCUUCAGCCACGUCCACCGAGAGCGCUGCCUACAAAAGUAGAAAUGGACUAAUAAGACUGGCCACAGUCUAAAAGCUGUACAAGUACAAUAAUCAAGAGUUAAAAAGACGACUUACAGAAUGGGACAAUAUUUGCAAACUACUUACCCAUGAUCAGAAUAGUAACCAGAAAUGGGCAGUUCUCAAAAGACACAUGCAGAUAGCCAAUAAGAGUGUGAGGAUGUUGUUAGCAUCAUUAAUCAUCAGGGAGGUACAAAUUAAAACCACGAAGAGACAAGACAUCCCGCUCUAUGUGUGUGUGUACAUGUUUGUUUGGGUGCAUGUGUAUGGUUGCACAUGUGUCCACAUACAGGCUAGAGUUCAACAUUAAGUGUGACUCUUCAGAAAGGUUCUAUCUGGCCUGAGGUUUGUUGAGUAAGCAGUCUGGCUGGUCAGGAAACCCAGGAAUCUGACUCUUCUCUCUCCCCAGUUCUGGGAUUAAAGUAUAUUGCUUUCUCAUUACUGUAUACAUUGAACGAAUAAAUGAUAAUAAAUG